rnacentral:rRNA from 1 species
AUUGAACGCUGGCGGCAGGCCUAACACAUGCAAGUCGAGCGAGCGGCGGACGGGUGAGUAAUGUAUGGGGACUGCCCGAUAGAGGGGGAUAACCACUGGAAACGGUAGCUAAUACCGCAUACUAUCGGAUAACCCAUAUGGGAUUAGCUAGUAGGUGAGGUGAUGGCUCACCUAGGCGACGAUCCCUAGCUGGUCUGAGAGGAUGAUCAGCGACACUGGGACUGAGACACGGCCCAGAGUCCUACGGAGGCAGCAGUGGGGAAUAUUGCACAAUUGGCGCAAGCCUGAUGCAGCCAUGCCGCGUGUAUGAAGAAGGCCCUAGGGUUGUAAAGUACUUUCAGUCGGGAGGCGUUACCGACAGAAGAAGCAGCGGCUAGCUCCGUGCCAGCAGCCGCGGUAAUUC